rnacentral:rRNA from 1 species
UACGGAGGGGGCUAGCGUUGUUCGGAAUUACUGGGCGUAAAGCGCGCGUAGGCGGACCUGCAAGUCGGGGGUGAAAGCCCGAGGCUCAACCUCGGAACUGCCUUCGAUACUGCGGGUCUCGAGUCCGGGAGAGGUGAGUGGAAUUCCUAGUGUAGAGGUGAAAUUCGUAGAUAUUCGCAAGAACACCAGUGGCGAAGGCGGCUCACUGGCCCGAUACUGACGCUGAGACGCGAAAGCGUGGGGAGCAAACAGG